GGUUAACCGAAUAGGGGAGCCGGAGGGAAACCGAGUCUUAAUUGGGCGUUAAGUUGCAGGGUAUAGACCCGAAACCCGGUGAUCUAGCCAUGGGCAGGUUGAAGGUUGGGUAACACUAACUGGAGGACCGAACCGACUAAUGUUGAAAAAUUAGCGGAUGACCUGUGGCUGGGGGUGAAAGGCCAAUCAAACCGGGAGAUAGCUGGUUCUCCCCGAAAGCUAUUUAGGUAGCGCCUCGUGAAUUCAUCUCCGGGGGUAGAGCACUGUUUCGGCUAGGGGGCCAUCCCGGCUUACCAACCCGAUGCAAACUGCGAAUACCGGAGAAUGUUAUCACGGGAGACACACGGCGGGUGCUAACGUCCGUCGUGAAGAGGGAAACAACCCAGACCGCCAGCUAAGGUCCCAAAGUCAUGGUUAAGUGGGAAACGAUGUGGGAAGGCCCAGACAGCCAGGAUGUUGGCUUAGAAGCAGCCAUCAUUUAAAGAAAGCGUAAUAGCUCACUGGUCGAGUCGGCCUGCGCGGAAGAUGUAACGGGGCUAAACCAUGCACCGAAGCUGCGGCAGCGACACUGUGUGUUGUUGGGUAGGGGAGCGUUCUGUAAGCCUGUGAAGGUGUGUCGUGAGGC
rnacentral:rRNA from 2 species